GCCUACAACCCAAAUCACCCCGAAUGUCUGAUUUCGUCUAAUCUGGGAAGUUUAGCAGGGUUGAGCCCGAUUAGUACUUGCUUGGAAGACUGCCAAUAAAAAAAUAUCAGCUGUUGUAGGCU
rnacentral:rRNA from 1 species